CUUCCGGCUGCUGGCCUCGUGGCGGCGGGUGGCAUGACUUCACAGAAUUUGAUGACAAGUUUCACUCUGACAUACUGCAAGGAUGAAGCGUACAAAGGAAAAUUGAGGUUUGUCAGUCAGGCUUUUCCUUCAGAGAAAAAAAGAUUCCAAAGCUUUUCAGGAUUAUCUGAAUGAUUCACAGUGUUAUAACAGCAUUAUUAGCUCACAGCACUCUUAUGUGUGGAGCGGAAGGAUAUCUGGUUUACAGGGAUACCCGUUUAAGGCCUAUUCAGCACAAGAGACACAUUCAAGAGCACCCUCACUCUGACUGACAAGAGCCAUAGUAGGUCUAUUCACUUCACAUGGCAGAUGACCUGGACCAAGCCCAUCCACUCCCUGCAUCUUCUGCAUCUUCCUCGUGUAGAUUGAACGCAUUUGAGCCCAGACCUCAUCGUGGACAGAGGCUGAGAAACUAAAAUGUCCAGUUUAUUUCCAGUAUUUCUACUUCUAGUGUGUUCUAUGUUUAGUGGGAUGGAAAUGAGUCAUAUUUUGCUUGAAGUUCAAACAGGAGAAUUUUAUACAUUGCCUAAUGCCAAAUUGGCCAGUAAACCAUGUUAAUUAGGAUUGUUAGGGAAAUUUUAUUUUAUUGAUUAAAAGUCCCACAGCUGCAAGAAACGUAACCAGUGAUUGAUCGUAUAUUUCACCUAGUUUCCCAUUCAGAAUUAAAAAGAAGGUGAUGGUUUGGAUUGCUAAUGGGACAUAGGUCUUUACUUCAAAUGACCUCCUUUAUGCUACAGCUGGCUAGUUUUUUUUUUGGCAGAGUGAAAUGACAGGUCCAAACCAUGGCUAGUUUAGGGCUUCUUCUAAUGCAAUUCUCCAGCAGCAUAAAACGAUCUGAAUUCCCUUUGUGUUUCUGCUCCAUCUUUAGGGACUCUUGUGUCUCAUGAAAUUUAGGGGAUGUACCAGGACAAACUAAGCUGAACAUUGCUGAAAGCAGAAGCCGAAGAUUCAGCCGGGACAGCUACUUAUAGGCUAUUUUGUCGGAGGAACCCAGAAUCAAGAGGACGACUCAAUAUGAGUUACACGUCUUGUUCCCCUUUAUUGAUCACAAUCGUCUAUAUUUAUACAGUUAUUGAUAGCUCACGUGCUACUAAACACUCUUCCAUUGGCUACAUUAGUCUGUCCACAUGCCUAUCUAUACAUAGCUAUUGGCUGAGCUAGAAUUUCCAUGUUAGUCUCUGCGUCUGCUUACAAUGGCUCAGUGUAUUAUACUUUGAUACGUACACAGUAACUGGCUGUAUUAAGAGCUGGCUGUAUUAGUGGAUACAUGUACAGUGUAGCACACAGCAACUAAGAUACAAUUUGGUUACAUUAAGUGUAUGAGAUUCUGGUCUCCAAAACUUGCUAACAGUUCACUAUUGUGUCUUAACACAUCCCAGUUUCUUCUCAUCUUGCUUGCACUGCUACUUUUGCUUCUUUACCCACAGCUUUGUUCAUCCUUGGUUCGUGUCAAGCUCCGUGUAGGCACUUGCUGACUUAGGAUUGUGGCCUGCACUCUCCAUAAACGCCAUUUUCUGAUGCUAAGACAUUGGGAUUGGGCACAAGAUGCCCACUGCUUUGCAGCCAGUCCACAACAGUUCACUGUCACUCAGUUUCAAGCCUGGGUUGUGCAAGUCAAAAUCAGGGAUUAUUCAGCCCUUCAUAAUUCGCAUGCCCACACUCCAUCAGCCAUUGUUCCACACUACUUGAGUUUACCAGUCCUGUGAAAUAGACUAACUCGUGAAGAAUGGGACCUUGGCCACUGCUGUGCACGGGUACUUUUUUAACCUCCACAUGGAAUUUUUUGUAGCUCUCCAAACACGCAACAGCAAACAGAGUGGUCCUGCCUUUUCAGCUAACAUUGCUAUUUUUUUAUCUGCUAACUAAAUAUUGAUUUAUUCCUGGUAAUUUCUGUAAGAUAUUACGCACUGUAGUGAUGUUAAAGGAAGGCAUACUCUUGCUCCUUUAAGGUCUAGGGGUGUGAAUAGACAGAGGAGAGAGGUUCACAGAGAGAGCAGAGAAAGAAUGGGGCAGCAGGAGUAAAGACGUCACCAUAUGCAUUAAUUAGAAACGACUGGACACACAGGAAUUGGCAGAAGAGGUUGGGGCAGUCUAGCAGACGCUUUCAAUACCUUAACGGUGUGGUGUGAGAUCACUCACAUAUGUACUUUGAUAGAAGUCUGAUAGAGGGCUACAAAUAGCCCCAGAAAAUGGCUUGAUUCCAAGAUCCUUGUACAAAAAAAGGAGUGUGAAAAUGAAUGAAUUGCACCAUAGAAAUACAUUUGCAGUACUGAAAUGCCGAUCCAAAUGCUGGCACAUUAGUGAUGACAGUGUUCAGUAGCUGAGUGGAGAAACAAUGAUACUAAACAUUCCUGGAGGGGUACCUGGUUUCCUGUUGUUUGUCUUGCAUUUGACUGUCAUAUGCAAAAAUUACCAGUCUGCAGCGUUCUGAUAGGAAUUUUGUGUUGCCAAACAAACACAUUAAUGAUGCAUCUUCGCCUUAGGUAGCUCCUAAAGAUGGGAAAAAAGACAAAAGGAAGAUCCAGGAGAGAUUUGGUGGGUUGCUUAUUGUUUAGAGGAGAUGCAUUCUCAGAAUUUGUGAGAAGAUAUAUAUGAACUUCUGGUUUUCCUUCUUAGAAUGCUAGUAAUGAAAGUUUAGCUUCUUCUGCGACAUGAGUGUAUAUAUUUUUAUUUACUGAUUUAUUCUUCACAGGCUGCAAACCCAGAGCAAUAUGACAUAUUGCCUGAUGUAUGUCCAAAACAGAAGGAAGACAGUGAUGAUAUUGCAAAAAUGGAGGAAUUAUGUCCUUCUGUUUCUUCAGAUGAUGCACAGCAGGCUGUUCCAGGUCAGAGUGAGGUGGUACAUAGUUAUACAUCUGUAAUUCUAGAAACUGAAGAGUGUUCUCCGGCUGCAGAAGCUGAGAAGACUAGUUCCAGUUCAGCUGAUCAGACUACUCGUGAUGUGCCUGUUAGUCCUUCAAGUUACAGGGCACUGUGUGGUGUUGAGAACUGUGCUCACAAAGAUCAGCCUUGUUCCCGAUGAUGAUAAACUGCCACCACUUCUGCUUGCAGUGGGUGAAAAAGGAAAAGAAACUUAUUGAUCAGAUUCUACCAGAUCACCCUUUUCUUUUCGGUGUUCUCGUCCAUAAGGUGGAAAUACCCUGGGCAAAAGUUUUUCCUAUCUGUUUAAUGUUGAGACUGGGAGCAGAAUAUGGGGGUUCCUUCUCCAUGCGUUUCACACUGCAGCCAUGGGACUUCAAAGCAUGUUACUUUCAUACCCCACUCCUGUAGUAAGUUUCAGGCACCGGAAGCCACUCUUUGGUGAGAUUGGACCCACAAUUAUGAAUCUGCUUGUUGUUGAGUACUUAGCUGGAUCUGGAGCUCACCUUUUUCCACAGAAGUAUCUGAAUGAAUUGGACAACGGUCUGAUCCCUGUGAUUCAUGCUGGAAUGUCAGAUCCUACAAGUCUACCAUUGAAAAUGGAGUUAAUAUUUUUCAUUAUUGAGCAUCUGGUUUGAUUAGGUCGAUUACAAGCAAUACUCUGAUUUGCUAGAUCUGAACACCAAAGCUACAAUGCUACAAACUAAAAAUCUUAACGUUUUAAACCUGUUAUGUCUUAAUAGAUUUUCAAAUUGUUUUUUAAACCCUCAAAUCCUCUCUGGUUACUUUACCACAAAAGACAACUUGUUUGUAAUGUUUCCUUAGGUUCUGAAAGUUUACACUUAAUACAUGUGCAAAAGAGGGCAGGUUUUAUUACCUUUUUACACAGCUGUAGCAUUUACUGUGUGUAGUGUAACUUUAAGCUAUACUGUCUUGCCCCUUAAGCUCAGAUAAAUGCAUUACAGAAAAUUGCUGUGGCUACACCUUAUCUCUGCAGCAUCUGCUUUUCCAUGUGCAAGUGAGCUAAAACACUGAAGUAAAAGCUGGCACAAAACUCUUUUCUUGUCAUUUGAGAUUUGAAUGUGAGAUGCUCUGUAGCUGACUGCAGAUGUCAUAUGUGGGCACCUUCUGACAGUGGUUUGUGGCCUGCAUGAGGAGGAAUUUCACAGAUAUGUUUAUGAAGACUUUGUAGUUGAAGUCCUUCAUGUCAGGAUGCUAUGCUGGUGCUUUAGGAACAUAGGCUCUGAAUUAAUUUUUUUUUUUUUAUAGAUCAGCUGAUUUCUUUCUAUCAUUUAUAAGGAUUUGCCUAACUCAAAUGGAUGCAAUUUUUAUAAAUACUACUUUUUUCUUUACUCUGUGUUCGGGGCUCCUGAAAAUUUGACCUUUCGAGGAUUACUAAAAAAACCAGAUUACCCUUGAGUAAUCUAUAUGUAGCAAUAAAUCAGACAAGAAUUCUGCAGUGUGUUUUCUGCUCGAUCUACUGCAUUGCCACUUCUUAAUAGCCAUCUUUACUUUCAGGGAAAAUAGAAUUAUUAAGUGUGGAUUUUCAUUAACAGAUUGAUUUUUAGUAUACCUGAGGUUCUUGCAUAGGAUGUAUUUUUGAUACUGGGUCAUUAAGAUCUAUUUAUAUAGUUGUGAUAUAUAUGUGACUUGUACUGAGGUUCAGACAACUGUAGUGGGGUUUGGUAACUGUCACACAGCUGUUCAUUAGGAACAGAACCAAAAUUAAAUACAAACAAGAUCUAUAUUGUUUUCAGUAAAAAUUCUGGUACAGUUUUCUAAGGAGAGUAUUGAAUCUUUGAUGCCUUGUUGAUGCUAAUAAGGGGAUAUUUUAUGUUUUUGUAUCAAAAACAAUUUAUAACUUAACCUAA